rnacentral:rRNA from 1 species
AUUGAACGCUGGCGGCAUGCCUUACACAUGCAAGUCGAACGGCAGCACGGGAGCAAUCCUGGUGGCGAGUGGCGAACGGGUGAGUAAUAUAUCGGAACGUGCCCAGUAGUGGGGGAUAACUGCUCGAAAGAGCAGCUAAUACCGCAUACGACCUGAGGGUGAAAGGGGGGGAUCGCAAGACCUCUCGCUAUUGGAGCGGCCGAUAUCAGAUUAGCUGGUUGGUGGGUAAAGGCCUACCAAGGCAACGAUCUGUAGUUGGUCUGAGAGGACGACCAGCCACACUGGGACUGAGACACGGCCCAGACUCCUACGGGAGGUAGCAGUGGGGAAUUCUGGACAAUGGGCGCAAGCCUGAUCCAGCAAUGCCGCGUGCAGGAAGAAGGCCUUCGGGUUGUAAACUGCUUUUGUCAGGGAAGAAAUCCUCUAGGUUAAUACCCUUGGGGGGAUGACGGUACCUGAAGAAUAAGCACCGGCUAACUACGUGCCAGCAGCCGCGGUAACAC